rnacentral:rRNA from 1 species
AUUGAACGCUGACGGCAGGCCUAACACAUGCAAGAAGAAAGAGAGGCGGACGGGUGAGUCAUGUCUGGGAAAAUGCCCGAUGGAGGGGGAUAACUACUGGAAACGGUAGCUAAUACAGCAUACUACAGGAUGUGCCCAGAUGGGAUUAGCUAGUAGGUGAGGUAACGGCUAAACUAGGCGACGAUCCCUAGCUGGUCGGAGAGGAUGACCAGCCACACUGGAACUGAGACACGGUCCCGACACCUACGUGAGGCAGCAGUGGGGAAUAUUGCACAAUGGGCGCAAGCCUGAUGCAGCCAUGCCGCGUGUAUGAAGAAGGCCUUCGGGUUGUAAAGUACUUUCAGCGAGGAGGCGUUACUCGCAGAAGAAGCACCGGCUAACUCCGUGCCAGCCACCGCGGUAAUUC